rnacentral:tRNA from 1 species
GCCCUUAUAGCUCAAUUGGCAGAGCGGUAGUUUUGUAAACUACUGACCGGGGUUCGAUUCCUCGUGGGGGCUCCA